rnacentral:misc_RNA from 1 species
CCGAGUUUACAACUCCCAAACCCAAUGUGAACGUCACCAAACUGUUGCCUCGGCGGGAUCUCUGCCCCGGGUGCGUCGCAGCCCCGGACCAAGGCGCCCGCCGGAGGACCAACCAAAACUCUUAUUGUAUACCCCCUCGCGGGUUUUUUACUAUCUGAGCCAUCUCGGCGCCCCUCGUGGGCGUUUCGAAAAUGAAUCA